rnacentral:rRNA from 1 species
AACGAACGCUGGCGGCAGGCUUAACACAUGCAAGUCGAACGGGUGUAGCAAUACAUCAGUGGCAGACGGGUGAGUAACACGUGGGAACCUUCCUAGGGGUACGGAACAACUCAGGGAAACUUGAGCUAAUACCGUAUACGUCCGUGAGGAGAAAGAUUUAUCGCCCUUAGACGGGCCCGCGUCGGAUUAGGUAGUUGGUGGGGUAACGGCCUACCAAGCCUACGAUCCGUAGCUGAUCUUAGAGGAUGAUCAGCCACACUGGGACUGAGACACGGCCCAGACUCCUACGGGAGGCAGCAGUGGGGAAUCUUGGACAAUGGGCGCAAGCCUGAUCCAGCCAUGCCGCGUGAGUGAAGAAGGCCUUAGGGUUGUAAAGCUCUUUCACCAGGGACGAUAAUGACGGUACCUGGAGAAUAAGCCCCGGCAACCUUCGUGCCAGCCGCCGCCGUAAUAC